rnacentral:sRNA from 1 species
UCCGUAGGUGAACCUGCGGAAGGAUCAUUAGUGAAUUGAAUAUGUUAGCGGACCUCUUCGGAGUCCCUAGCAUCAAAUCAUAUCCAUAACACCUGUGAACUGUAAGGCUGUCUUGAAAACGAAAGUGAUUAGAGCGCCUGCCCAUUUUAUACAAACAUUAAAGUAACAAACGUAGUCUUAUUAUAAUCUAAUAAAACUUUCAACAACGGAUCUCUUGGCUCUCGCAUCGAUGAAGAACGCAGCGAAAUGCGAUAAGUAAUGUGAAUUGCAGAAUUCAGUGAAUCAUCGAAUCUUUGAACGCACCUUGCGCUCUUUGGGUAUUCCCCAAAGAGCAUGCCUGUUUGAGUGUCAUGAAAAUAUCAACCUUGACUUGGGUUUAGUGCUCUUGUCUUGGCUUGGAUUUGGCUGUUUGCCGCUCGAAAGAGUCGGCUCAGCUUAAAAGUAUUAGCUGGAUCUGUCUUUGAGACUUGGUUUGACUUGGCGUAAUAAGUUAUUUCGCUGAGGACAAUCUUCGGAUUGGCCGAGUUUCUGGGACGUUUGUCCGCUUUCUAAUACAAGUUCUAGCUUGCUAGACAUGACUUUUUUAUUAUCUGGCCUCAAAUCAGGUAGGACUACCCGCUGAACUUAAGCAUAUCAAUAAGCGGAGGAAAAGAAACUAACAAGGAUUCCCCUAGUAACGGCGAGUGAAGCGGGAAGAGCUCAAAUUUGAAAUCUGGUGGCCUCAGGCUAUCCGAGUUGUAAUCUAUAGAAACAUUUUCCGCGUUGGCCCAUGUACAAGUCUCUUGGAAUAGAGCGUCAUAGAGGGUGAGAAUCCCGUCCUUGACAUGGACUACCAGUGCUUUGUGAUAUGUUUUCAACGAGUCGAGUUGUUUGGGAAUGCAGCUCAAAAUGGGUGGUAAAUUCCAUCUAAAGCUAAAUAUUGGCGAGAGACCGAUAGCGAACAAGUACCGUGAGGGAAAGAUGAAAAGCACUUUGGAAAGAGAGUUAAACAGUAUGUGAAAUUGUUGAAAGGGAAACGCUUGAAGU